AUUUCCUAUGAUGAUUUAUAUAAUACUGAAAGUAGUGGACUAAAUUUCCUUGAGGAGAAAUGAAAUCCGAGGGAUA